CUAAUAUUAUGUGGGAGAUAUGAUGCUUGAAACUGGAAGAUUUGAGAAUUCAUUUUAUUUGCAGAGGGGACAGACAGUUAAGAGUGCUGCCAUGACCCCUGCCUAGGCACUGCUGACUGCCAUCUUGUGAUUCCCAUACUUAUGGGCAUACCGUUUUUCUAUUCAGUUGAGGAAGAUUUAUGACAUUGUUAUCAUUCAGAACCAACUUCAGCUGCCAACUCUCCACUCCAGUCUACAUUUUAUAUGCUGAGACUUUCUUCAUCUCGAACAUCUUUCUUCUCAAUUCCUUCACCUCGUAGCAAGGCUUCCAGUGUCGUUCCUUCUGCCAGAACAUUGUCCUUCCUCAGAGGAAAGUCAACAUCUGAGGAACAUGCAGAUUAUACCGUCAGAGGCAAAAGCACCAUUUAUAGUAUUCACAAUACUUCACCGCACUUGCAGGGUUCCUGCUGAGUGGCAGGUAAAAUCACUUUUUUUUUUUUUUUUUGUAUUUCAACACAUCUUUAUUGAAUAGCACACAAUGUGGUUACAGCAUUAUUGUCAUAAUGAUUAAAGCAUAUGUUUACAAUCAAAUGUUCUCAGUUAUAAACAGUAAGUGAAAAUCACUUUUUUUUAUUGACAAUGAAUGUAAAUGUAUUUGUGUAGGACAUUGGCCUAUUCCAUCUGCACACACCAACUAGUGGAUAUUUUCAUUCAAAACUUAUAAUCCUCAAAACAGGCUCCCGGAUAAAUGUAGCACCAAAUCAAAGUGUGUAAAUGAAAUGACAUUUUAUCUGUAUUUGCAUUAAGCUAAUGUCAGACAUGGUGGUUUCACUGCCA